rnacentral:rRNA from 1 species
UACGAAGGGGGCUAGCGUUGUUCGGAAUUACUGGGCGUAAAGCGUAUGCAGGCGGAUCGUUAAGUCGGGGGUGAAAUCCCGAGGCUCAACCUCGGAACUGCCUUCGAUACUGGCGACCUUCGAGUCCGGGAGAGGUGAGUGGAACUCCGAGUGUAGAGGUGAAAUUCGUAGAUAUUCGGAAGAACACCAGUGGCGAAGGCGACUCACUGGCCCGUUACUGACGCUGAGGCGCGAAAGCGUGGGGAGCAAACAGG